rnacentral:lncRNA from 7 species
AAGGAUCAGUCCUCAGCUCUGAGAGAUGCUGGUGGCAGUUUGCCUGGCCUAAAAGUAGGCUCAAAUGCAUACCAGAACUGAGAAAAUACUGUGAUGGCUCUGCAGGAAGGAUGCUUUGCUGGAUCCCAACUCACACUGUACAGCAUUCUGAAAAACAGGGCUGGAGACAGAAGGAGCCUGAGGCCUGGCCGUAAAGCCCUCAAGAAACCUCUGUGUCUUGUAAUUUAAUUAACCCCAAGUCACAUUUGAGUAUCUUCUGAAAUGAAGGCAAGAUGCUAACCCACUUGCAUAGGAAAAAGCUUAUUCAGGAUGUGAUUUCCAUGCUCAUCAAACAGUGGAAACUGGAAUAAAUAGAAUUAAUGAACACUUGGACCGUUGCGGAAAGCGUCAGUAGAAGUUCCUAGAGGCAGAAGCUGCACUUUUCCACUCUACCUGCCCUUGAAGGAGACACUGCCUGUGAAAGGAAGGACAAUCGUGCUUGAAUUCUACAUUUUUUCCACCCAUCUCCUACAUCAAAGGCUCAUGAACAAAUGAGGAAUUAGAUUGGAAGCAAAGGUGAGAAGGAAAGGGUAGCUCUCCCACUGGGCAGAGGAACCCUGCAGAAAAACCACUGCUGAGCCUGGUGCUGCUCAGAGCUGCUAUAACUGGUCUGUCCAAGCCACCUAAAAUUGGUGCAAUGGUUGAGGAACUGCUGAAGGGUUUCAUAAUGUGGUAAGGUCAGGAAACUAAUUGUUUAUGCACAUAAAGCAGUGUGAGCUGGUGGAGCAUGCAGACAGAGAACAAACCAACCCUAAAUGUACCUUCUUGCUGCUACUGCGGCUUUGAAAAUAUAGAGUCCUCAUGGAUCACCCCAUGAAGACUGAUUAAUAUUCAGAAGCAAUCGCAAAGGAACACAGAUGUCUGGCAAUUACGUGGAGAGGAGCAGGAUGCAGAGCAGAACCCUGAAACAGCUGUGCACAUCCAUCAGUGGCUGCUGUCUUCCAAUUUCCCUUCCUCUAACCUCAGAAGUAUAUAUUGGCACUAUUGGGUAACAAAACUCACAAGAGUUCUGUUACUUCAGUGUCUUGUUUACGUCACUCUGACACAGCAACCUGCAAAGGUCCCUUCCGACCCAAACCAUCCUAUAAUUCCAUUAUACAGGAACAUCACUUUCCCCGUGGCUCUGUUUUUUGACUCCCUUGUAAGCUUCUUCCACUAAUUGCUGAUUAGACAGGCUGUUGAUCCUGGCGAUCCCUUGCUCACACACAAUAUGGUUGUUUUAAAGCUUAAAAUGUGGAGAGAAGAAGCCCCGUCCUUUCCAGUCUUGACAGCCAAGGAGCUGGUGAUGUAGCUUUGAGCACUGGGCUGCUCGUUGGACAGCAGGCCACAGCUUACAGCAAGGUUUGGUUUUCCCCUGUGCAUAACGUAAAGGGGAGAAUUAUCCUCUGCAAGUUACAGAGCUUCUGUAACUCUACCACCACUGCGGCCCUCUCCCCUCGAGCCAAGAUGAGGAUUUCAACCUCCAAAUUCCAGCCCUGAUUCUGGAAGUACCCACUAAUGAGAUGACAGCUACUUAUUUAUUUCUCUUAAAGAUACAGUCUUUAUCAUAAAAGAGCUGAAGGAGAUAAAAACAAUUUUUUUCCAUUAAUGUUACUCACAGUUUAUGGGAGAAAUGCAAUAAGAAAUACUCGUGGCGUGAGACUGAGAUUAAAAUAAUUUUAAAAUUACUUUUCUUCCUUUGAAAGCAAAAGUAAUUAACUCAGAAGUGCUGGCAAUAUUAGAUCAGCUCUGAGUGAUUAGUGCAUAUAUUUAAUACUUUAGUUGUCCAGUUAGAAGAAAUGCUAGGAGAUAGACAGGGUUUGUAACAAUUAUAUUAUCCCUACGUCAAAGAGGUGUUUGUUCUUUCUCAUUUCAGAGGGAGCCCAUGCUCAUGGAAAAGUCAAACUUUGCACAAGUCAUAAUUAACAGCAGGUAUAUUUACUGGGCCAAAUAAAUCCUUGGGAAUGGACAGAUGUUAAUUUCUCUGGAUGUUUAGGAAAAUAACUUUUUGGAGUUGUGUUUGCUGAGAUGAAGCCCAAAUUCUUGUCCUGUUGUCAAAGACUCCUGGAAGGAGCAGUGUAAAUGGGAGUGCAUUCCCUGCUCAGAAAGCAUUAAAAGCGUUAUCUCACUG